rnacentral:rRNA from 1 species
UACGGAGGGUGCAAGCGUUAUCCGGAUUUAUUGGGUUUAAAGGGUCCGUAGGCGGACUCGUAAGUCAGUGGUGAAAUCUCAUAGCUUAACUAUGAAACUGCCAUUGAUACUGCGGGUCUUGAGUAAAGUAGAAGUGGCUGGAAUAAGUAGUGUAGCGGUGAAAUGCAUAGAUAUUACUUAGAACACCAAUUGCGAAGGCAGGUCACUAUAUUUUAACUGACGCUGAUGGACGAAAGCGUGGGGAGCGAACAGG